AUGUUUUAUGAUUUUGGAUGAUUAUUUUGGUAGAGUUUAUUGGGUGAAAACCGUGCAUGAGGUAAGGCAGCGAAUCUGCCAUAAGCACACUGCUCGGCAGUGUUUUGCAAGGCGAUUACAGCCAUCCAAACGGUUCCCAAAAAUUCCCAAAUUAAUUGUGUAUCAUCUUUCAUAUGUUUUCUAUACUUUGGUAAAAUUUCAGAAGGUUUGGAGCUCUUAUGAUUUAUUUAUGAAUUUGUAAACAUCACUGCCUAUCUGGAAUACAUUUUUGGUAAACAAUCUUUGGGAGGCCAUAAGUAAAGUUUCAAUCGGUGAAAACCUUUGAAACUUGAAUAUGUCACUCUAGACUCCCGUAUCUUUCUUUUGACAUCGGUCUCACCAUUUUUGAGUAAGGGAAACAACCGGUAUAAAUUCUUGAAAUCUAGUUCUUAUUCCUUGUACCAUCCAGUAGAUUUUACAAACCUACGACUUUUAGGUGGCAAAGGCCGACUUAAAUCUUUGAUUCUCAAGCCUAUCUUUCUACUGAAUAUUCACUGACAUGUUGGGAACUUACUUGUUCAGUUUUAGAAUUUUUGGUGAAGCCUAAAGUGGUUUUUCUGAUUUAUGUUCUAAAUCUGCCAAACUUGAACUCUUUUUGUGCACUGAACUUUAGACAGUCAUAUCUUCUAAACCAUGAAUGUUCUUGGAGUAAAUCCAACUGUAGAGUGUUAUGAUCUCUCCCUAGUUUCCAGAUUGACCCUUGGGGUUCCCAGUGGAGUUUUGUAAAGGGAGAUAUGAAUUUUUAAAGAAAGCCCACUGACUUGGUUGUAAUCUGGAAAUCUGAAAUUUUCAGAUUUUUGCUUGUUAAAUACCCAUCUUUGAGAGGGCAUAUCUUGCUCGUUUGAAUUUUUUUUCAUUCGAUUCAAAUUGGAGAAUGAUCCUUGAAAUGUCUAGUUUCCAGAAUGUCUUUUGGAGCCUCAUUUGGAGAUCCGAGGCAGAUUUGAUGUCUGUUGCAAAACAACCUCUUAAGAGCUCAAGUUGUUGAAUUAUUUUCUAUGUAUCAAAGUUUAUUUUAAAGGAUGUUUCAUGAAAGAUUUAGUAUAUGUGCGUAACGAGUUUGGGACUAUUUAUUUUAAAUGAGGUCCGUUCUUUUAUUUAAAUUAUGAUGGACUUUUAAUGAAUAUUUUUGGGAUUAAACUCUUAUUUCUUGAUUUAUAUAAAUUAUUUUUUUAAGGACUUAUAAAUAUGAAUUUCGUAGGCCUACUGACCUACUGUGAUCGACGGUUUGUCGAUGUCUAAUAGAUUUGACAAUUUUAUAGCAAGUCCCUACAUGAGUCUUGAGUACCCUGGUAAAAUUUCAAGCCAUUCCAACUUCGUUUGAUACUUCUUUAAAAUGCAAAACCUAAACUGCACAUUACUACCGAGAAUUUCAGAGAACAGAGGAAAGAGUCAUUCAUUUCAGUAGCUUCCUGUGUGAUCUAGAUUUCCAAAUUUUUAUGGUAUUAACCUUAUUGUGUUAGCUAGAUAUCCACCAAAGUUGAGCCCAGUUUGACAACGUUUACUAUUUUUCAAAAAUCCAAGUUUUCGAUUGUUCAAAACUGCCGAACAUGGUAGAUCGUGGUAAAAACGUCAUAUCUCUCAAACCACUUGGAGUUUUCGACUCUACUUUUUUUUUAUAUGAAACUAGACUCGAAGAUCUUUCUUUUGGUAUGAGUCUAGAGUCCAGGAGAUGUCGGAGUCAGAACAGAUUAAAUUUUGAAGUUGAGUCAGUGUAAAAACAGAGCAUGUUUUGAUGAUGUUUGAUUGUGAUUCUUAUGUGCCUUAUGUGUUUGUGUUGCCUAUGUGUUUGAAUGAGAUUAGACGAGGUAUGAUUGAUUUUUGACUGUCUUUAAUGUAACGAAUUAUGGAUGCUAGAACCCUAAAACAUUAAAAGAUACCCUAGGCACGUAGAAUUAGACUUUGUCUUAUGACAAUUUCUUCACGAACUUAUCGACUCUUCAUCAAUGAAGGUCCGGGCGACAGAAAGUGAAGCCGAAGAAGAAACGACUCCACGCCAGCUUUAAGAACAAUUGAGGUUGAGCAGGCGAUGGAAUGGAUCGGUGUUGAGCGGAUUUCCCUUUUGAUGUUUAUGUAAUGAAACCUUGAGUAUGCAUCUCCAUAUGCAUAACUCACACGUUUUUUUUCGCUGCAAACACUCUGACUUAUUUAUCAUUUCUACUUGAACUUAUUACUACUUCAUUUUAAUUAACUUUCAGUUGGGGUCUAGUCGUUAUGGCAGACUCGUUUGUGAAUUACCCAAGUGGUUAUAUAUAUAUAUACCACUAGUUUGUUAUUAAUGUUGGUUACUUAGUAAAUCCCCUUUAAUUUC